CUGAUCCUACGGGAGGCAGCAGUGAGGAAUAUUGGUCAAUGGUCGGGAGACUGAACCAGCCAAGCCGCGUGAGGGAUGAAGGUACAGAGUAUCGUAAACCUCUUUUGUCAGGGAACAAAGGCGGGGACGCGUCCCCGGAUGAGUGUACCUGAAGAAAAAGCAUCGGCUAACUCCGUGCCAGCAGCCGCGGUAAUACGGAGGAUGCGAGCGUUAUCCGGAUUUAUUGGGUUUAAAGGGUGCGCAGGCGGUCUGUUAAGUCUUAUGUGAAAGCCUUCGGCUUAACCGG
rnacentral:rRNA from 1 species